rnacentral:sRNA from 1 species
UUUUGGAAGUAAAAGUCGUAACAAGGUCUCCGUUGGUGAACCAGCGGAGGGAUCAUUGUUGGAACGCGCUCCGGCGCAUCCAGACAACCCUUUGUGAACUUAUACCCAUACUGUUGCCUCGGCGUCAGGCUGGCUCCCCUCGGGGGGUCCCUCACCUCGGUGAGGAGCAGGCCCGCCGGCGGCCAAGUUAACUCUUGUUUUUACACUGAAACUCUGAGAAUAAAACAAAAAUGAAUCAAAACUUUCAACAACGGAUCUCUUGGUUCUGGCAUCGAUGAAGAACGCAGCGAAAUGCGAUAAGUAAUGUGAAUUGCAGAAUUCAGUGAAUCAUCGAAUCUUUGAACGCACAUUGCGCCCUCUGGUAUUCCGGAGGGCAUGCCUGUUCGAGCGUCAUUUCAACCCUCAAGCCUGGCUUGGUGAUGGGGCACUGCCUUUGAGAAAAGGGCAGGCCCUGAAAUUCAGUGGCGAGCUCGCCAGGACCCCGAGCGCAGUAGUUAAACCCUCGCUUUGGAAGGUCUUGGUGCGGCCCUGCCGUUAAACCCCCAACUUCUGAAAAUUGAC